ensembl:lncRNA
UCUGUCUGUCUCUGUCUGUCUGUCUGUCUGUCUGUCUGUCUGUCUGUCUGUCUGUCUGUCUGCCUGUCUGUCUGUCUGUCUGUCUGUCUGUCUGUCUGCCACUGCACGUCAUGUGAAAGCACAAGAUAUAACAACACAUACAUCUCAAAGGGAACAAAACACAUUUAAAGUGACAUCUUUUUCUAACACCAAAACAUUUAACCCUACAACAUAGACAUUUAUAAUCUCCAAUCAGAGAAAUACAUUUUCGUACUGUGACUAUCUUGUUUCUUUAUUAUCCUGGACAGAGUAGAGUCACCAAUUGAUUGAUUAAUUGAUAGUCAUCAAUGGUAAAGGAAAGCAGACCUGGGAGAAUGAUGUUUGUUACCAGGGUUUGGGUCGAUUUGAAAUGAAGGCAGUCAAUUCAGGAAGUUAACUAAAAUUCCAAUUUAAUCAUUAAUUCCAAUUAAAUAAUUAAAACAGGGCAUAUAUUUUCAAUUACUCUCAAUUAGCUGAAAAAGGAGAAGCUAUUUAACUAUGUCAACAUAUCACUUCCAGAAUUGAUUGACAUCAAUUUGAAUUGUUCCCAACCCUGUGGGUUACUAUUUGAGUUUCCUGUCAGGCCGAUAUCAAGCCAGUUAGAGCUCCUAUCUUAUCCGUCUUUCUUCUGUGCAUGCACCACCUGGUGUUGCUCCUCUCAUCAUUCUGUCUUCUCUGCAUGCACCACCUGGUGUUGCUCCUCUUAUCAUUCUGUCUUCUCUGCAUGCACCACCUGGUGUUGCUCCUCUUAUCAUUCUGUCUUCUGUGCAUGCACUGCCUGGUGUUGCUCCUCUUAUCAUUCUAUCGUUUCUGCAUGCACCGCCUGGUGUUGCUCCUCUCAUCAUUCUGUCUUCUCUGCGUGCACCGCCUGGUGUUGCUCCUCUUAUCAUUCUCUCUUCUCUUCAUGCACCGCCUGGUGUUGCUCCUCUUAUCAUUAUGUCUUCUCUGUGUGCACCGCCUGGUGUUGCUCCUCUUAUCAUUCUCUCUUCUCUUCAUGUACCGCUUGGUGUUGCUCCUCUUAUCAUUCUCUCUUCUCUUCAUGCACCGCCUGGUGUUGCUCCUCUUAUCAUUCUCUCUUCUAUUCAUGCACCGCCUGGUGUUGCUCCUCUUAUCAUUCUCUCUUCUCUUCAUGUACCGCUUGGUGUUGCUCCUCUUAUCAUUCUCUCUUCUCUUCAUGCACCGCCUGGUGUUGCUCCUCUUAUCAUUCUCUCUUCUAUUCAUGCACCGCCUGGUGUUGCUCCUCUUCCCAUUUUACAGAGCUGCGUCUCUAGCUCUCCCUGUUGAAUUCUGUUAUUAGUAAUAAUAAUAAAAAGUGCCAGGUGCCAGGCCCUUGUCUGGGGGUGUUCUCCCAGUAGUAAAGAUAGUGUGUGACUGAACUAGCACGCUGUUCCCUGUAUAGUGCACUACUUUUGAGGGUACUAAGGUACCAUUCCUGACAAAUGUAUGGUGUGCUUUUUAAAGUUGCUGUUACCACCGCUUUCUGUCUUUUCUGUGUGUCUGUUAUCAUCAUAUUAUGGGUUGAAAUUGGCUUUCCUUUUGUUUCUACUAGCUUUUUGUUGCUGGAAAUUGUGACUUCAUCAAACAUUGUCAAAAAAUGCUUAUCAUAACCAAAGAGGGAUUGGGAAGUGUGUUUGCGUGCGUGUGUGCGUGCGUGUAUGUGUGUGUGCUUGCGUGCGUGCGUGUGUGUGUGUGUGUGUGUGUGUGUGUGCGUGCGUGUGUGCGUGUGUGUGUGUGUGUGUGUGUGUGUGUGUGUGUGCUGGUAGUUAUCCUUCAUUUCAAAGAUAUGGAGGAAAACUAGCAGGGAUCAUCCGUCAGUCACCACUGUUGUAACGAACGCAGUACUGGAGCUGAAAGUCACGUUUGUUUUCAAGUUCACUUCAUGACAAGAGUGUUGUUGAGUAUGCAAAUGUAUUAUUUUUAAAGAAAAGCUAUUGUAAAUAUAGUUUGUGAAUAUUUUUGUAUCAUCUUGAUAAAUCUUUGUCCUUUUACGUUAAUUAGUCAAAGUCCAACUGAUCUCAUCCUCCCGAAACAAACCCAACACUGCCUGUGGUUGGGUCUCAAAUUGCGCCCUAUUCCCUAUAUAGUAGUGUUGCCAUGAUGCCAGUAUCGCGAUUCUACGACACUCAAUUUUCCUUGGUAAAUAACUUGAAAUAUUGUGUUAACAGCUUCAAAAUAAGACUGUCAUUAUUAGGACUGUUUUCGUCAAAGACAUCGAGUCUCCUUCAUGUUUUGUUUCCUUUGCUUCCUUACUUCCUAGUAUCGCGACACGUCUGGUAUCGCGACACGUCUGGUAUCGCGACACGUCUAGUUUCGCGACACGUCUAGUAUCGCGACACGUCUAGUAUCGCGACACUUCUGGUAUCAUGACAAAACUACUAUAUAAUGUAAAACUGCUAUACAUUUGACCAGGGCCCAUAGGGAAACUCAUAGAGAUCCGGGUCAAUAGAAAUGCACGACAUCUUCUGUCUUCUCUCAUAGGUGAACCUAAUCCCCUCCAAAUGUCUCAUUGUCAGCUACAUACUGCAGACAUCUCUCUCUCUGUGGUGGUCCGUCCAUUUUAACAGAUAUCUCUCUCUGUGGUGGUCUGUCCACUUUUAACAGAUGUCUCUCUCUCUCUCUCUCUCUGUGUGAUCUGUCAUAACGAACCCCAGUGGACCCAUUUUAGAAUCUACUGUGUUCCUAGACAGCAACUGUACUGUAGCUUCUCUCUCUGCUGUUAGGUUGUGUCCCAAAUACGCUCCGUUUUGGGACGUAGCUUCUCUCUGUCUCCCACCUUCUUCGUCCCUGGUGUCAUUCAUAACAGACUAGCAUUCACAUUUUUAGGUUAAGAAUGGACAAUAAUGAUUCACAAAAACUGUGGUUGCUAUCCACUAUCCACUAUCAGAGAACUAUGUGAAUAUCAGAAUUGUUGCUAAUUAUUGUCAAUAUACAAGUGGUAUUUUAAAGAUAGCACAGCCUUAUGUUAAAGAAAAGUUGAUAUUGUUCUUAUUUUUGUUAUUGAAAAUGUUUUUUUUUUUAAAAGCUUAAAGACCAUUUACAUUUUGUUUCCCAUUUUUUAAAUGCUGUUUUUUUUUUUUGGAAGGGGGGUAAAUUAUUUUGUAUUGUUUUUAUUUUAUUUUAAAUGUAAAGUUAGACAUAUAAUUUAAUUUAACUGUAGCAAUGUACUGAUUAAAACAUCCUGGUAAUUGUAAACCUAACAUUUUAAACUUCAUUAUUGCUCUAGAAAUAGUUACAGUGCAAGAGAUAUUUCGAUAGAAUAGCUGAUAUUAAUGUGUAAAGCCUGUCACCUAAAUCAUGAAAUCAAUUGAUCAAUCUUCUUGGCAAAGGACUGCCAACAUCAACUUUUCUUUAAAAAAAAAAAUGAUAUCAGAAUUGAAACCUAAACUUGAUCGUUCCCACGGCGAUCGUUCCCAUGGCGAUACCUAGCUCUGUUCCCGGGGUGUGUUUCCAGAGCUAGGAGAUGCAUAGCUAUCAUUUCACAUUUUGCCAUGUUUACAUAUGAACAGGUUUGUGUAGAGGCCAACCUAAAUCUGUAACAAUCAUCCGAAAGUUUCUGUGGAAAAUACGGUUUCAAAAAGGAAAAACAAAAACAAAAACUGAGAGGCGGGGCACCACCCGUUUAGGCUUUAGGGAAGGAUCUGCAUGGGAGACUGCUAAAGUGGAUAUCUGUUGGCCCUAAGAUAAACCUGUACACAAUGUAAAUGAAUAGAGACACUUUGUGAACAAAAAAAUGUGUUCAUUUUCCCUGCGAAUGUGUAUCGUUUUUAAAAAUUCAGAAUAUGAAGAAGCUUGCAACCUCUUCAAUUGGUAGAAGGCCUGACUUACAGAAAAUGAAAAACGUGUUAGUUAUGCUGGUCUGUAUGAAAAAUAUUUUCUUGACAUUUUUUUUUUGUGACCCUUCUCUGUAAUUUGACCUCUUUUGUUACUUAAGGGGGACUGGGACAGCUACAGUGCCUUGCGAAAGUAUUCGGCUCCCUUGAACUUUGCGACCUUUUGCCACAUUUCAGGCUUCAAACAUAAAGAUAUAAAACUGUAUUUUUUUGUGAAGAAUCAACAACAAGUGGGACACAAUCAUGAAGUGGAACGACAUUUAUUGGAUAUUUCAAACUUUUUUAACAAAUCAAAAACUGAAAAAUUGGGCGUGAAAACCUGAUGGAGUCUGCAAAAGACCUGAGACUGGGACAGAGAUUUGUCUUCCAACAAGACAAUGAUCCAAAACAUAAAGCAAAAUCUACAAUGGAAUGGUUCAAAAAUAAACAUAUCCAGGUGUUAGAAUGGCCAAGUCAAAGUCCAGACCUGAAUCCAAUCGAGAAUCUGUGGAAAGAACUGAAAACUGCUGUUCACAAAUGCUCUCCAUUCAACCUCACUGAGCUCGAGCAGUUUUGCAAGGAGGAAUGGGAAAAAAUUUCAGUCUCUCGAUGUGCAAAACUGAUAGAGACAUACCCCAAGCGACUUACAGCUGUAAUCGCAGCAAAAGGUGGCGCUACAAAGUAUUAACUUAAGGGGGCUGAACAAUUUUGCACGCCCAAUUUUUCAGUUUUUGAUUUGUUAAAAAAGUUUGAAAUAUCCAAUAAAUGUCGUUCCACUUGUUGUUGAUUCUUCACAAAAAAAUACAGUUUUAUAUCUUUAUGUUUGAAGCCUGAAAUGUGGCAAAAGGUCGCAAAGUUCAAGGGGGCCGAAUACUUUCGCAAGGCACUGUAUGUUUGACCUACAUGUUAAUAAUUAGCUUCCGUGUACUAGUCUAUCACCUGAGUAUCUGAGGUGCUACAACUGUAAAGAAAAGAAGAAGAAAAUAUUGAGGAAAAUACCAGGGGGAAUUGGGGGUCCAAACCCAAACAGAUUGUAACCAAAUCCAUAGUUUGGGCAUUUUUUUUAAUGAAAUCUAAAUAGUACAAGCUAAGGUGAAAAGGUGGCCAUUUUGUCUCUAUGUUUGUACAUUGUAUGUACAAUCAUUUCAUAUUCUAAAAACUGGUCAGAAAAAUAAAAGGAACUAAUUGUGAUUUUUAGUCUUGCAGAAUUAUUGUAUGUAGUUAGAUGAUGUGACAAGCUAAUAUUUAUCUAAUAAAUAUGUAUUCAGAUGAUAUCUGUA